rnacentral:rRNA from 2 species
AGUCAUAUGCUUGUCUCAAAGAUUAAGCCAUGCAUGUCUCAGUACAAGCCAAAUUAAGGUGAAACCGCGAAAGGCUCAUUAAAUCAGUUAUGGUUCCUUAGAUCGUACCCACAUUACUUGGAUAACUGUGGUAAUUCUAGAGCUAAUACAUGCCAACAGAACUCUGACCGGAGACGGAAGGAGUGCCUUUAUUAGAUCAAAACCAAUCGGUGGCGCGGUUUCGGCCGCGUCAUCGUACAAUAUGAUGAAUCUGAAUAACGUUUGCUGAUCGCACGGUCUCGCACCGGCGACGUAUCUUUCAAAUGUCUGCCUUAUCAACUGUCGAUGGUAGGUUCUGCGCCUACCAUGGUUGUAACGGGUAACGGGGAAUCAGGGUUCGAUUCCGGAGAGGGAGCCUGAGAAACGGCUACCACAUCCAAGGAAGGCAGCAGGCGCGCAAAUUACCCACUCCCGGCACGGGGAGGUAGUGACGAAAAAUAACGAUACGGGACUCAUCCGAGGCCCCGUAAUCGGAAUGAGCACACUUUAAAUCCUUUCACGAGGAUCAAUCGGAGGGCAAGUCAGGUGCCAGCAGCCGCGGUAAUUCCUGCUCCGAUAGCGUAU